GAUGAACGCUGGCGGCGUGCCUAAUACAUGCAAGUCGAGCGAACAGACGAGGAGCUUGCUCCUCUGACGUUAGCGGCGGACGGGUGAGUAACACGUGGAUAACCUACCUAUAAGACUGGGAUAACUUCGGGAAACCGGAGCUAAUACCGGAUAAUAUAUUGAACCGCAUGGUUCAAUAGUGAAAGACGGUUUUGCUGUCACUUAUAGAUGGAUCCGCGCCGCAUUAGCUAGUUGGUAAGGUAACGGCUUACCAAGGCAACGAUGCGUAGCCGACCUGAGAGGGUGAUCGGCCACACUGGAACUGAGACACGGUCCAGACUCCUACGGGAGGCAGCAGUAGGGAAUCUUCCGCAGUGGGCGAAAGCCUGACGGAGCAACGCCGCGUGAGUGAUGAAGGUCUUCGGAUCGUAAAACUCUGUUAUUAGGGAAGAACAAAUGUGUAAGUAACUGUGCACGUCUUGACGGUACCUAAUCAGAAAGCCACGGCUAACUACGU
rnacentral:rRNA from 1 species